GAUGAAGAACGCAGCGAAAUGCGAUAAGUAGUGUGAAUUGCAGAAUUCCGUGAAUCAUCGAAUCUUUGAACGCACAUUGCGCCUUCUGGUAUUCCGGAAGGCAUGCCUGUUCGAGAGUCAUUAACAACCGUUUCGAUCCCUUUCUUUCAGAAAUUACAAAGAGGAAAAGGGUUUGGUUAUGGUGGAGGAGGGAAAGGGAGCGUUUAGCCUGUAAAAAAAGAGGCUGUGUUCCGCCUCCCCCCCAAAAUUGUACAGGCGGUCGUGUGCGCCCACGCAUCGAGGUGUUGUAAAAGCUGCCACCGCACUUUUCACCUGUGCAGUGCGAGAUUGGCCAGCCGGUUUAAAAACCCCUCCAAACAAUCAAAGGUUGACCUCGGAUCAGGUAGGGAUACCCGCUGAACUUAAGCAUAUCAAUAAGCGGAGGA
rnacentral:misc_RNA from 1 species